rnacentral:rRNA from 1 species
CGUUAGCGGCGGACGGGUGAGUAACACGUGGGUAACCUACCUAUAAGACUGGGACAACUUCGGGAAACCGGAGCUAAUACCGGAUAAGAUAUCGAACCGCAUGGUUCGAUAGUGAAAGAUGGUUUUGCUAUCACUUAUAGAUGGACCCGCGCCGUAUUAGCUAGUUGGUGAGGUAACGGCUCACCAAGGCAACGAUACGUAGCCGACCUGAGGGGGUGAUCGGCCACACUGGAACUGAGACACGGUCCAGACUCCUACGGGAGGCAGCAGGG